CAGUCGCCACGGGAAUACGAAGGGGGCUAGCGUUGUUCGGAAUAACUGGGCGUAAAGGGCGCGUAGGCGGAUCUUUAAGUCAGGGGUGAAAUCCCAAGGCUCAACCUUGGAACUGCCUUUGAUACUGGAGAUCUUGAGUCCGGGAGAGGUGAGUGGAACUGCGAGUGUAGAGGUGAAAUUCGUAGAUAUUCGCAAGAACACCAGUGGCGAAGGCGGCUCACUGGCCCGGUACUGACGCUGAGGCGCGAAAGCGUGGGGAGCAAACAGGAUUAGAUACCCCCGUAGUCCCUGUCUCUUAUAC
rnacentral:rRNA from 1 species